GCCGAAGUGGUGGAAUUGGUAGACACGCUAGGUUCAGGGUCUAGUUUCCGUUCGGAAGUGGGAGUUCGAGUCUCCCCUUCGGCACCA
rnacentral:tRNA from 1 species